UUGAAGAGUUUGAUCAUGGCUCAGAUUGAACGCUGGCGGCAGGCCUAACACAUGCAAGUCGAACGGUAACAGAAAGAAGCUUGCUUCUUUGCUGACGAGUGGCGGACGGGUGAGUAAUGUCUGGGAAACUGCCUGAUGGAGGGGGAUAACUACUGGAAACGGUAGCUAAUACCGCAUAACGUCGCAAGACCAAAGAGGGGGACCUUCGGGCCUCUUGCCAUCGGAUGUGCCCAGAUGGGAUUAGCUUGUUGGUGGGGUAACGGCUCACCAAGGCGACGAUCCCUAGCUGGUCUGAGAGGAUGACCAGCCACACUGGAACUGAGACACGGUCCAGACUCCUACGGGAGGCAGCAGUGGGGAAUAUUGCACAAUGGGCGCAAGCCUGAUGCAGCCAUGCCGCGUGUAUGAAGAAGGCCUUCGGGUUGUAAAGUACUUUCAGCGGGGAGGAAGGGAGUAAAGUUAAUACCUUUGCUCAUUGACGUUACCCGCAGAAGAAGCACCGGCUAACUCCGUGCCAGCAGCCGCGGUAAUACGGAGGGUGCAAGCGUUAAUCGGAAUUACUGGGCGUAAAGCGCACGCAGGCGGUUUGUUAAGUCAGAUGUGAAAUCCCCGGGCUCAACCUGGGAACUGCAUCUGAUACUGGCAAGCUUGAGUCUCGUAGAGGGGGGUAGAAUUCCAGGUGUAGCGGUGAAAUGCGUAGAGAUCUGGAGGAAUACCGGUGGCGAAGGCGGCCCCCUGGACGAAGACUGACGCUCAGGUGCGAAAGCGUGGGGAGCAAACAGGAUUAGAUACCCUGGUAGUCCACGCCGUAAACGAUGUCGACUUGGAGGUUGUGCCCUUGAGGCGUGGCUUCCGGAGCUAACGCGUUAAGUCGACCGCCUGGGGAGUACGGCCGCAAGGUUAAAACUCAAAUGAAUUGACGGGGCCCGCACAAGCGGUGGAGCAUGUGGUUUAAUUCGAUGCAACGCGAAGAACCUUACCUGGUCUUGACAUCCACGGAAGUUUUCAGAGAUGAGAAUGUGCCUUCGGGAACCGUGAGACAGGUGCUGCAUGGCUGUCGUCAGCUCGUGUUGUGAAAUGUUGGGUUAAGUCCCGCAACGAGCGCAACCCUUAUCCUUUGUUGCCAGCGGUCCGGCCGGGAACUCAAAGGAGACUGCCAGUGAUAAACUGGAGGAAGGUGGGGAUGACGUCAAGUCAUCAUGGCCCUUACGACCAGGGCUACACACGUGCUACAAUGGCGCAUACAAAGAGAAGCGACCUCGCGAGAGCAAGCGGACCUCAUAAAGUGCGUCGUAGUCCGGAUUGAGUCUGCAACUCGACUCCAUGAAGUCGGAAUCGCUAGUAAUCGUGGAUCAGAAUGCCACGGUGAAUACGUUCCCGGGCCUUGUACACACCGCCCGUCACACCAUGGGAGUGGGUUGCAAAGAAGUAGGUAGCUUAACCUUCGGGAGGGCGCUUACCACUUUGUGAUUCAUGACUGGGGUGAAGUCGUAACAAGGUAACCGUAGGGGAACCUGCGGUUGGAUCACCUCCUU
rnacentral:rRNA from 1 species